GUAGUUUCGUUAUUUCACAUAGACUUAACUAGAAAAAGUAACGUCCAUCCACGUUGAGGAGCAACCGAGUAACAAGCGAAAAACUUAAAAACUCAUAUACAAAUUUGAACAUAAACAUAGAAGCUUAUUUUAGUUAAUAAUGUAAUGUUCAUAAUCAUGAUUAAGUAUUCAGAUUAUGUAAUUAAGUAGGCUAAUUAACUACUUCCAAUAUAAUAGCAUAAUUCCCUAAAUGAGAUGAACCAACCAUCUUCUUCAGGUUAUGCAUCUGCACACCCAAUAGUUUCAUCGAUGUUAAUUCGAGCUUUCUUUACGCUCCAAGCACUCAACUCAGUGAUCAACACACUUUUUGUUCCAUUGUUAAAUGCAAACAAAUGGGCUUCGUCUCUAGUGGCUAAUGUUGGGUAAACCCUAGCUAUGAUGCACGUCUUUCCUCCUCCUCCAAAGCUCUCGACGAUAGAGUGAUCUAUCUGUGUAUAUAUAUAUAUAUCCCAAACAAUACUAGAUUAGAUCCUAAAUUCAAAUACCUCAAUAAAAGAACAAGUUUACCCAUUAGUUGCCCACCAAUGCUCGAAGUGAAAUUUCAUCUCGUUGAGGAUCGAUGUCGACAAAUGCUCCAUAUGUAUACAUAAGUCCUGGAUGAUAGAACAAAUGGUUUAUUUUUAAGAUCAAUCACAACUUCGGCUCGGGCUCAGGUCCUUUAUUGUUUAUUUAUGUAUGAAUUAAUUUAGAAUUCUUUUUAUAGACAUUCAUAAUUAAAAUUUUUAUUCUAACAUAAUAUAGGUUAUUUGGUUAUUUGUAUCAAAAUAAUAAACUACGUUAGAAUCUCGUGUAUUACAUGGCUUGAAUAAAUGCAAUGUUAUAUACUUAGUAAUAAAAAUAAACUAGUAGUUUACCCGUCCGCUGAGACAUGUAUUUAGGAUUAACAACAUCUAAACUAUAUGUAUAUUUAAGAUCACGUGACUUCUUAUCCAAUUGGGAUUCGUAAGUAUAGCAGUUGCUCAAUUGUCAUACAUACUAACUCGAAUUCUGAUAUUAGUUGGCAUAAUUUAAUAUGUUUAACUAAUUAGUUGCAAGUUGAAUAAUGUAGGAGUUGUUACCAUCAUAAAAUUAACAAAAAAAAAAAGAACUAUACAUAUUAUAUGUCUAUGAAAAUAGUAAGAAUAAUAAAACUAGCAAUGGCAAUCAAACAUAUAAUGUGUUUAAUGGCGUACUAAAUUUUACAAUUUCAUCUCAUAAGUUGUAUAACUCAUGAAAAUAGUUUUGUAUACUUCACUCACUUCAUGCAAUCAACAUUAAUGAAUGUAUUCUAAACAAAGUAAACCCAAUUAAAGUACCAUAUUAAUUACUAAAGAUUUAAUAUUCACUACACCAAACAUAAAAACAACCACAAACAUAAUAGUAAAUAGCAUAACACAGCCAAAAACAAUAAAACUACUAAAGACAAUACCAUAACUAAACAUGUGGUGAAACUAUGUUUCAGUACAGGUUGCGCCAUUGAUGUCUUGAAAAAAGUAAUAGGCAAAAAUAAAAAAUCAUUCAUCUCCUUUGUCCUUACGUUUAUCUCAACAAUCUCACACCAUUCUUGUACUAUAAUUAACUUGCUAUUUCCAUUAAUAUAGUACACAGAUGACCAAGUCAUCAAUAGCAUAGAUACACCAGGUAGAAAAGAAAACACUUUCGACUAGGUUUCAUUUUGUAGUUACCACAAUUCAAGAUCCAUGCUAAAUAUUCCAAUACUUGCCAACAUAUGUGUAUUGCUCGGGAUGAAUAAAAUAUAAUAUCAUAUGUUACCACAUACAGUCGUUAAGAUAUUUUUUUUAAAUUAAAUCUGACGUGACAUUUAAAAAUUUUGUUAAGUUAACUUUUAAAACAUUCUCUUUCAACUAUGUAUUAAUUUUUUUGGAUGUAACUGAUAAGUGUUAAUUCAACUGAAUUACAAUUAUAAAUAUGCGACAAUAUUAACACAUAAAAAAUUAAGAACUAAUAUUUGAAUUUUUUAAUACCACCUAUGUUUUAUCAUUUCACAUAACUAUCCAACCACAUUAAGGGGCUGUUUGGUAGCCUCU
rnacentral:lncRNA from 1 species